UGAGGAAUAUUGGGAAAUGCCCGCAAGGGUGACCCAGCAACGCCGCGUGGAGGAUGAAUGUCGUAAGAUUGUAAACUCCUGUUAGAGGGGAAGAAUAGUACCGGUUGGACCGGUAUAUGACUGUACCCUCAGAGAAAGCCCCGGCUAACUACGUGCCAGCAGCCGCGGUAAUACGUAGGGGGCAAGCGUUGUCCGGAUUUACUGGGUGUAAAGGGCGCGCAGGCGGGAUAAAAAGUCAGUGGUGAAAUCCUACAGCUUAACUGUAGAACUGCCUUUGAUACUUUUAUUCUUGAGUUCGGGAGAGAGAGACGGAAUUCCAGGUGUAGUGGUGAAAUACGUAGAUAUCUGGAAGAACACCAGUUGCGAAGGCGGUCUCUUGGUCCGACACUGACGCUGAGGCGCGAAAGCGUGGGGAGCAAACA
rnacentral:rRNA from 1 species